AGCACUUAUAAGGGUGCUGGCAGAUGUAAGUCCGACGUGCAGACCAUGCACGGGCCCGGGUAACCCGGGCCUCCUGGGAUUAC
ncrna:Methanolinea tarda NOBI-1 S15-Methanomicrobia ribosomal protein leader